rnacentral:rRNA from 1 species
CCCACCGCCCGUCACACCAUGGGAGUGGGUUGCACCAGAAGUAGCUAGUCUAACCUUCGGGAGGACGGUUACCACGGUGUGAUUCAUGACUGGGGUGAAGUCGUAACAAGGUAGCCGUAGGGGAACCUGCGGCUGGAUCACCUCCUUA